rnacentral:lncRNA from 1 species
CGACACUUGUUACUUAUUAUAGUUUUUGGAGCUAAAUAAGAUGGAUAUCAAGAUAGUGUUUCUAAAUGACAACAUUAAGAAACACAAUAAAGUGCAAUCAGAUGAAACUUUAUGUCAAUAGACACAAAGUAGAUAAUGUGCAAACAAAAGAAAUUCAUUUAUUUGUUAAGAAAGUUGUCUCAUUAUUGAUACCACAAAAGUCUCAUAAGGUGAUUGUCUCAUUUGGUUUUGAGAUGUAUAUUAUGGAGAAUUGUGGAUUAUACAGGUUCAGUGGGAGUAUGUUUAUAUUCUAAAUUUAAUGUGUCGAAUUUAUUUUAU